AGUGAACGCUGGCGGUAGGCCUAACACAUGCAAGUCGAACGGCAGCACAGUAAGAGCUUGCUCUUACGGGUGGCGAGUGGCGUACGGGUGAGGAAUACAUCGGAAUCUACUUUUUCGUGGGGGAUAACGUAGGGAAACUUACGCUAAUACCGCAUACGACCUACGGGUGAAAGCAGGGGAUCUUCGGACCUUGCGCGAUUGAAUGAGCCGAUGUCGGAUUAGCUAGUUGGCGGGGUAAAGGCCCACCAAGGCGACGAUCCGUAGCUGGUCUGAGAGGAUGAUCAGCCACACUGGAACUGAGACACGGUCCAGACUCCUACGGGAGGCAGCAGUGGGGAAUAUUGGACAAUGGGCGCAAGCCUGAUCCAGCCAUACCGCGUGGGUGAAGAAGGCCUUCGGGUUGUAAAGCCCUUUUGUUGGGAAAGAAAAGCAGCAGGUUAAUACCCCGCUGUUCUGACGGUACCCAAAGAAUAAGCACCGGCUAACUACGUG
rnacentral:rRNA from 1 species